UACAGAGGGUGCAAACGUUGUUCGGAAUUACUGGGCAUAAAGCGCACGUAGGUGGUCCGCUAAGUCGCGUGUGAAAUCCCCCGGCUCAACCGGGGAAAUGCGCGUGAUACUGGCGGGCUUGAGAUCGGGAGGGGUGAAUGGAACUCCAGGUGGAGCGGUGAAAUGCGUAGAUAUCUGGAGGAACACCGGUGGCGAAAGCGGUUCACUGGCCCGACACUGACACUGAGGUGCGAAAGCGUGGGGAGCGAACAGG
rnacentral:rRNA from 1 species